GAACAUUGCUCAGGAUCCUGCAGGAACACAGAACUUAUAGUUUCAAAUUUUUUUUUCAAUAAAAAUGCGGUAUUUCUUUAAUGCUAAAUUCCUUUUGUUUUCAGUGCCCUCAUUUUAAAAAAUCAGCAUGUAUGUAAUCAACGAAAUGAGGAAUGAAGUAUGUGAUUUGGCUGCUUUGAAAAUCAUAUAGCAAUGCUAUUUGUAUUUGCGGGCUUAGCUUGGUAGCCCGUCUAAAAUGACUGUCAGUAGACAGAUUGUGCAAUGAAGAUGAAACACAGUAUUGCGGAUUUUCUAAGCUUGAGAGACCAGUUUUCAAAAGCUCUCUAGCAAAGCUAUUGUGCUACCAGUAUUACUCCAUCAGAAGAAACUGUUAAAGGAUGAUCAGAAAUACUGAGGGCAUAAUAGAAUGAAAGAUCCUGAGCCCAAAGGAAAGCAA
rnacentral:lncRNA from 1 species